rnacentral:rRNA from 1 species
UGUGUAGGCUGCCGCGCAAGUCGGAUGUGAAAUCCCCGGGCUCAACCCGGGAAGUGCACCCGAAACUGCGUGGCUCGAGUACCGGAGAGGUUGGUGGAAUUCUCGGUGUAGAGGUGAAAUUCGUAGAUAUCGAGAGGAACACCGGUGGCGAAGGCGGCCAACUGGACGAGUACUGACGCUGAGACACGAAAGCGUGGGGAGCAAACAGGAUUAGAUACCCUGGUAGUCCACGCCGUAAACGAUGGGUGCUAGGUGUCACGGGCUUUGACUCCUGUGGUGCCGUAGCCAACGCAUUUAAGCACCCCGCCUGGGAAGUACGGCCGCAAGGCUAAA